AUUGAACGCUGGCGGCAUGCCUUACACAUGCAAGUCGAACGGCAGCGGACCUUCGGGUGCCGGCGAGUGGCGAACGGGUGAGUAAUAUAUCGGAACGUACCUUUCAGUGGGGGAUAACGUAGCGAAAGUUACGCUAAUACCGCAUAUUCUGUGAGCAGGAAAGCAGGGGAUCGCAAGACCUUGCGCUGAUUGAGCGGCCGAUAUCAGAUUAGCUAGUUGGUGAGGUAAAGGCUCACCAAGGCGACGAUCUGUAGCGGGUCUGAGAGGAUGAUCCGCCACACUGGAACUGAGACACGGUCCAGACUCCUACGGGAGGCAGCAGUGGGGAAUUUUGGACAAUGGGCGCAAGCCUGAUCCAGCCAUGCCGCGUGAGUGAAGAAGGCCUCGGUUGUAAGACUCUUCGGUCCGGGUAACGGAAAGUACGACACGGGUUAA
rnacentral:rRNA from 1 species